ACGAACGCUGGCGGCGUGCCUAAUACAUGCAAGUCGAGCGGACCAAACAGGAGCUUGCUCUUGUUUGGUUAGCGGCGGACGGGUGAGUAACACGUGGGUAACCUGCCCGUAAGACCGGGAUAACUCCGGGAAACCGGAGCUAAUACCGGAUAACACCGAAGACCGCAUGGUCUUUGGUUGAAAGGCGGCUUCGGCUGCCACUUACGGAUGGGCCCGCGGCGCAUUAGCUAGUUGGUGAGGUAACGGCUCACCAAGGCGACGAUGCGUAGCCGGCCUGAGAGGGUGACCGGCCACACUGGGACUGAGACACGGCCCAGACUCCCACGGGAGGCAGCAGUAGGGAAUCUUCCGCAAUGGACGAAAGUCUGACGGAGCGACGCCGCGUGAGCGAAGAAGGUCUUCGGAUCGUAAAGCUCUGUUGUUAGGGAAGAAGAAGCGCCGUUCGAACAGGGCGGCGCGGUGACGGUACCUAACGAGAAAGCCCCGGCUAACUACGUG
rnacentral:rRNA from 1 species